UUUGUGCCUGUAAUAGAUAAAAGAAAAGCAGACAUUCAACUAAAACAAGAUUCCUCCAGCAACAAAACAGACCAUUCUAUAUUGAGGCCUCAUUUGCUACGAACACCUGAAUACUGCUGGUGUGAUGAAGAUGCUAUGGCACAAUAUUCUCUGGGCAUUGAGCAACCUCUAUAUGUCAUUGAGGUUACAGUUC